AGCGAACGCUGGCGGCAGGCCUAACACAUGCAAGUCGAACGGACCCUUCGGGGUUAGUGGCGGACGGGUGAGUAACACGUGGGAACGUGCCUUUAGGUUCGGAAUAGCUCCUGGAAACGGGUGGUAAUGCCGAAUGUGCCCUUAGGGGGAAAGAUUUAUCGCCUUUAGAGCGGCCCGCGUCUGAUUAGCUAGUUGGUGAGGUAAUAGCUCACCAAGGCUACGAUCAGUAGCUGGUCUGAGAGGAUGACCAGCCACAUUGGGGCUGAGACACGGCCCAAACUCCUACGGGAGGCAGCAGUGGGGAAUCUUGCGCAAUGGGCGAAAGCCUGACGCAGCCAUGCCGCGUGGAUGAUGAAGGUCUUAGGAUUGUAAAAUCCUUUCACCGGUGAAGAUAAUGACUGUAGCCGGAGAAGAAGCCCCGGCUAACUUCGUGCCAGCAGCCGCCGUAAGAC
rnacentral:rRNA from 1 species